GGGAAAGCAAGGACCAUGCAGCGUGAGGAGCAGGAUUGCAGUGGGAUUGUUUUGUUCUGUAGGAAAUACAAACAGGUGGAAAGCACUUAGCAGGGGCAGAGCACAGGAGGUUAAAGCUGUACAGGGAAGUCAGGGUGAGGUCUGGAGAGCCAGUCUGGGCAAGCUUUAGAUGUGUCAUGUAUUGCUCCCUCUUUCCCCUUGAGUGUCUUCAAAUAAGCUCCCCAAGUGCUGCUGCUCCAGCCAGCCUGAGGCCUGGCACCCGAGGAUUAGAACAGAAACACUGAUGCAGUCCUGAAGGCAGCCUGGUCUUGCUGAUUGUUCUGUGCAAGGAGUGAGGUUACGAACCAUUUCCUGGGCGCAGUCUAGUGCUUCGAAGAAGCAGGGGUCAAGAGGCGGACGGACGCAGAGUGAUCCAGAGGCCUGGCUUGGAAAGUGGGUGCUGGACCUGACUCAGUUUCCCCAUCUGUAAAGUGGCAGUGAUGAUCCAUGCUCAGGGGUCAUA